CAUCAUCUUAAUUUUGGAAGGCAUCUAUUUUUUUUUGAGAUUAUUUCAAGUCAAUUAAAAAAUUAUUAGUGUUAUUCAGAUAUGAUCUCAAUUUUUUUUCAUUGAAUUCUCUAUCAAAAAUCAUACCAAAAUUUAUCUAAACUCUACAUGAUCAUCUCAAGUCGAUACAAGUAUUUUUAAUUUUUUUUCUUUUAAUUUUUUUCUUAUUUUUGAAUUAUUCUUUCAUCGCCUGAUUUUUUACUGGAUGGGAUGACCCAUGGGGCGUCCCAAUUGAUCGGAUAAGCGGAUUUUAUAUAGGCCGACCUGUUUAAUUUUCUCACUUAAAACCUAAGUGGGGCGACGCAAUUACUAUUCUUCUUCCUUCUCUUCUCGUCUCAUACCGAAUCCUUCUUCAAACACUCCACCGACCACAAUCUCCCAAAUCCAUCCCCUUAUCCAUCCAAAAAUCUCUGAUUUCUAUCUCAAAAUAUAGGGUAAACACAUCCUCUCGGCAUAUCUUUGAUCAAAACCCUCUCCUUCUUGCUCUCCUUCUUUGAUCAAAACCCUUUCGGCAUAUCUUUGAUUCAAAUUCAUUUAAGAAUAUUUGGUAGUGUUCUGGUAAGUUUCAAAUCUUAAAUGUAUAAAAAACUGAGUUGGAACAAAAUGAAGUGACCCAACUAGGUCAUCCUCUUUUAUUGGGUAGCCGGUACGUACUGUUUUUGGCUUGUGGCAUGCAGUGGGACAAUCCAUGGGAUGACCCCUGAGACCCUGAGACCAAAACAAAGAGUCUGUUUUUUAGACUGGCCAAAUGAGGCGACCCAUGGGCCUUCUCAGUCGCAGUGGGACGAUCCAUGGGACGUCCCAUUCUGGACGAACCUCGUAACGACUAGUUUUCAACCCAUUUUUAGUGCAUUUAAUGCACAUUAAACACUCUCCAACAGCUCUUAACCGACACUAAGACACUCUCAAGUCCAAAUGGAGGCUAUAAAUGCCCUCUAGAGGUGGAAAAUCAAUCAGGAUUUAUAUAUUCAAGCUCACAUUCGGGAAAAGAAAAGAAAAAUCUAGAAAGAGAGGAAAGAAGCAUUCAACAGCUCACCAACCACUCUCCAGCUGCAUUCAAGUAUGCCAAUCAUUUGAUGGUGUUCAGCAAAUGCUUCUUCUCCUUAAGUAUUAUAUUUUUAUUGCAUUUAUUGUGCUUAUUUAAGGGGCUGUUGUGCUGAAAUUCCUAUACACUAUUCACUUGCUAUUGUAUUUUGAGUUUUGAAUUUUGAAGGAUUCCAAAACUCAGAUAGGUUGAUCCGAAUCUGAAAUCGGAGUGUGUGUGGAUGGACUUAUAUCUGAAAAAUAAGUGUUCUUGCUUGGAUAGCAAGGGUCGGUGUUAUCUAAUGUUUUGUAUCUUGUAAUCCUUUUAGUGGAUUGAAUUCUCAAGUAGAGACUUGAGGAGUGGAUGUAGAUGAAAGGUUGGCACCGAAUUACUAUAAAUCUUUUGUGUUUGUUGUGCUUGCAUCUCUUUAUUCAUUCAUUGUGCUUUAUCCUUGCUUUCUUAUUAUUUGCAGUUGAUUUCAUUUUCUUAGCUAAUCAAUUCACUCCACUCAAUAAGUAUAGCACAUUACUUGAGUGCACUAAACACAAAAUUUUAAAAAGACCAUUCAUCCCCCUUCUUGGGCUCCAUAUUUGGACAACAAUAUAUAUGUAUAUAUGUAUAUAUAUGUAUGUAUAUGUGUAUAUAUAUAUAUGUAUGUAUAUAUAUGUAUGUAUAUAUAUAUAUGUGUGUAUGUAUGUGUGUAUGUAUGUAUGUAUACGUGUGUAACUUUUCAAAGUUACUGAAGAGCGCAGAAUUCAGCGUACCUACUAGAAGUUAACAAGGUGGCUGGUGAUUUAGCUGGUCUUGGUAAAGCUACGAGAUUUGGUAUAAAGUGGGAUCUGACAAUUACAUUGCUCUUAAUGUGUUAAACCUUUUGUCCUUGGACCACUAAGCAUGUUUGUAGGAGCACCUUAAAUAGUGAUUGUAGUAACCAUUUAUGCAAUCAAAGUAAGAAAAGAAAAGAAAAAAGGUCUAAUUAAAGCAUAUGAAUUGAAUUUAAUUCAAAUAAUCACAAAUCUAGGCUAAAAUCUAUUCGACCAUAUAGCAAGUUUGAAUUGAAUUUGGUUCAUACUUCGUCAGAAAUGGAUUAAAGCAUUAGAAUUUAAAUUCAAUAUAAUCUCAAUUGAGCUUGAUUUGAGCUUAAUUCAAAACAAGCUCAAUUCAAGCUUCCCAGAUUAAUUGACAAUCAUAAGAGUACUUUAUUUUCAAUUCAAUCCAUUUUGAUAAAAGUUAACGUAUAGAUGCCUAGAUCCGACUGUCUUAGUUAUAUGAAAUAAAUCUCAUCUACUUUUUUAUAUUUUAUCAAUUAAGGAUAUGCUUUGCUUGCUUCAAAAAUAGGAAAAAAUGAAAUAAAAUAGUUAUUAUCUUUGUUGGACUUUAAUUUCUAGAAUUGUGAGGAUGCCAACUAAUUUAGUUGGUAAAGUUGCUAGUGCCUUGAUAUAAAAGGCUCAGGUUUGAUUUAUAUGAUCACCCCAAUUUUUUAUUAGACUUUCUCCCUUCUUAAUUAUCAAAAAUGAUUAUAAAGAGUUAUAUUAGAUCAAGGAUCAAAGCAGUUAAUUACAAUUCAUAUACAAUGUCUUUGCACCUCAUCUAACCUGGAGGGCUCAUGUUGGGUGGCAUGUUCAUGUGGAUACUUGGUUCUAAUCGAGGCUAUAUUGAGGCAAAUCUCAUCCAUCAGUUGUAUCACACUUUACCCAUUAGGUGUGGGGCAUAUCUACUUCAACAAUAGGAAAAAGUUGAAUAGGAAUUGUUUUACUCCUAGCCAAACAACCGUGCCAUAAAUUACUUCUAUUUUCACUUACUGCAAUUUUUGGAAUUGUCAUGCCCCCGACUCGAGAUAUGGACCACGGGUCAUGGCAACUGCCGUACACUUACGAAGAACUCUUCUCCAUAAGCAUUCAAAGCAUUUCAUGACAAUAUCAAUGCAUCACAGCAGAUAAAAUUUAAAUACUUAUUGUUCAACUUUAACUCAAAUAACUAAAUUAAAUAUCUUACAUCUAAUAAAGUUUUACUAAAAAUAAUACAAAAUAAAUUAAAGUUCAAAGAAAUUGACAAUGUUAAAUCUCGCUUUUAAAAGCUCUCUCCCAAAAUUAAUAUCCAAGCUCGUAAUUAAUUAUCUGAAUCUGAAAAAUAAAAAGAGAGGUAAUGAGCUAGACAGCCUAGUAAGUAAUAAAUAUCUCAACGAGACAUUCCAAAUAUUAUCAUAUAGUAUGAUGUUCAAAAACAAUGCCAUAAAUAACAUAAAGACAUAUUUUAUACUUAUUUAAAUAAAAUUANNNNNNNNNNNNNNNNNNNNNNNNNNNNNNNNNNNNNNNNNNNNNNNNNNNNNNNNNNNNNNNNNNNNNNNNNNNNNNNNNNNNNNNNNNNNNNNNNNNNNNNNNNNNNNNNNNNNNNNNNNNNNNNNNNNNNNNNNNNNNNNNNNNNNNNNNNNNNNNNNNNNNNNNNNNNNNNNNNNNNNNNNNNNNNNNNNNNNNNNNNNNNNNNNNUUAUAUAUAUAUAUAUAUAUAUAUAUAUAUAUAUAUAUAUAUGAUCAUAAAUUCGAUUCAAGUCAAAAUACACAUAGCUCAACAGCCUUUGACUAUAGCCAACUUUUACCCCCAUUUGUCAAAAACCAAUGCACUAUCCCUAUUGGCAAGAUCGAAAAUCAAUGCACCACCUCCAUUGGCAGGGUCCAAAAUCAACGUAUAACCCCCAUUGGCAAGGUUGAAAACCAACAUAUAAUCCCUAUUGACGAGGCCCACUGAAACAUAGUUAGGUUGAGAGCACAAUUUCGAUCCGUAUCAAAACACAUUUGUAACAUAAUAUAUAGAUAUCAUGCUUUCACUGAACAUACGCAUAAUCAUAUUAUUUUAAAAAUUACUUUCCAUUCAAAACAUAAUUUCAUAAAUAAUGCAUAAUUCAAAUAUCAGUAUUUACUUUCAAAAUAAUUAUGAAAUAUCUCGAGAAAAUAGUUCAUUACUUACCUCUUCAAAAUAUUGAACGGACAGAAUCAAUCAAAUCCUGAAAACAUCCUUCAAAACCUAUUAUUCAAAAUUAUAUACUUACAUUAAUUCUAAUUUAUAACUAAAUCAAAAUAAAAUCUCGAAUCAAAAUCUCACUUAAAAUCGAAUCCUUCACUAAGUUCGAUCAAAAUCAUUAAAAGAAAGUCCUUCAUUGGGCUAAUCUUGGAAAGAUAACUUCUAAAAAAAAAAUCUAUCAAUAGAGAAAAUCAAUCUAGAAAGAGAAUUUUAGAGAAAGAAAGUUUGUAGAAGGAGAAAUUAGAGAGAAAAUUGGCUUUCUAGAUAGAGAAAGUAUGGAUUCAACUUAGAACAAGGAGAGAGAGAAGAGGGAAAAAUUCUCUCUCUAUUUUUUUUUUACUUUUUCUUUUUCUCUUUUUUUUUCCACGAAAACAAAGGACCCGCACAUCCUCUUCCCCUUCUACACGGAAUAGGGGAAGUCUUCCUCCCCCUUGUUCUCAAAGCCAAGAUGGCUUCCUUCCCAUCGAUAAGGCUCGCAGCCUGAGGAGCAGGGCAUGGCAAGGACUGGUGGCCCGAUCCGACGAUCGGUGACAGUAACUGGUAAUAAAAACCAAAAACAAAUAGGGAAAAAUAGGAAACUUAGAAAACAAAAAUUUCAAGGGAUUUUCAAUAGAAAAAUUUGGCAAAACUUAUGUUUAAGACUUACAAAAGAUUAAGAAGGAGAUAUAGAGGAGAUUUACCUAGUUUUUGAUUGGUUUUGAUCAAAUUUUUGAUGGCUAUAGCAUGGGUAAACCACCAACAAUCGAGAAGAAAGAAAGGGAAAAAAAUAAAAGCAGUGAAUCUUGAUGAUUUUCAUUGAGGAAAAUCAGAGGGAUUGGAGCCUUUAAAUAGGUUUCAAUGGAGAGGAUUUUGAGUUUAAUUCCUUCUCAAUUUCAAUGGAGAGGAUUUUGAGUUUAAUUCCUUCUCAAUUUCUUAAGGAUUUUAGGAUUGCUUUUCUGAGAAGAACUCCUUCGGGAGUUCAGGCACACAAUCCCCUUUCCACGCUAAUUUCCAGCACAUGCGUUGCACGUGCUCGCUCAAAUUUUAAAUUUUUUUCUACACUUUGAGAUUUGUGCUGUAGGACUGGGUAUUACAUUCUAUCCCCUUAAAAUAAAUUUUGUCCUCGAAAUUUUUCUUACCUAUACUUUCAAAAGAUAGAGAUUCACAAUUCUAAUAUCAUCCUCAACCUUUCGUUAUUCUUAAUUAUCGAUGCAAAUGCAUCACUAAAAUAUUGCACAAAGGAAAGAUCAAUAUCUUAAGAGUAGAUCUGAAUCAGAACCAUUCAUUCUUUAUAUUCAAAAUCAAUAUCUUAAUUCUAGAUAAAGACAUUAAGUUCUUCGUCAAAAUACAUCUAUAUUUGUCUUAAUCGAUCUAUCACAAGAUUAUGAGCUAACUUUAAUAUGCUCACAAUAGAUAGACAUUCAAGUAUAAAAUCUAGGAUCGAUAGACAAUCUUAAAUUCUUUAUAACAGAUAGAGAGACAUAUACUUCAAAUCUAUGAGAAAAGAAAUCUAUUACUAAAUAAUUCAAUUCCAAAAUCAAGAACCAAUGGUCCAUUCAUCCUAGUCCUAAGAUGCCAAAAAUUUCUUUAGUAUCGUCAAUAGAAGAUCUACUUAUGAAAAUCACAUAUCGACAUCCAAAAUAGUCCCAAAUCAAAAAUAUUAUCCUUUUCAUUAUCAAUGAAUUUCUCCUAUAAGGAAUACCAAAUCAUGUCAUUUAUCAUAAACUUUUAGCCAUAAAAAAAAAUCAAUAUAUUGCUGACAAGCUCAAAAUAAUCCAAAUCACCAUGCUUUCACUGUGCACUUUGAUUUAACCAUCAAAAUUUCUCUGAACAUAAUAAAAUAUUUUCAAUUAAAAUAUUACUUUGUAUUAAGAAAAUCUCAAAAUUUAACUUCUAGGUAGGUCGAAAGAAACUUUCAAGUCUUAUCCCUAAUAUGCAUCAAGCACAUUUAUCUAAAUCAGUCUUUAAAUCCAAUAUCAUGCUCAAAAUCAUCGUAUAGGUUUACUAUAAUUCAAUAUAAAUUACAUCUUAAUUCUCGUAUCAAUUCAAUUUGACAGUUCCAAAUAAAAAAGCAUGUAACUAAGAUCAAUAAGAAAAUCUUCUGAUGCUCUAUCAAGUUGAGACUUAAUUCAAAACAUAUAGGUAGAACCAACUCAAUCAUCUUUUCUAAAGUUUCUUUUAUCUUAAACAUCUAUCAAAAUACAUUCCACAACAAUUAUGCAAGUCUUUUAAAAUCAAAUCUCCAUACAAUACAAGAUUUUGUCAAGGAUCUCAAUAAUAAAGAUAAAAGAACUCCAAAUCAGUUCAUGAACCAAAAAUUUUGAAUUGCAAUUUCAUAAUUAUCCCAAAAUCUCAAAUAGAUAUAAAUAAAAUCUGAUUUUUUUUUUAAAUCUUGAUCAUCCAAAAAUAGCAAUCAAGAAUCUCACUAGCAACCUCAACACUAAUAUAGAAAAUUCCUUGAUCAAUUUAUAAUCCCAAACUUUGAAUUAAAGUUUCAUGUACACCAUAUAGUCUCUAACAUAAAUGAGAUCUAUUAUUUGGUCUCAAGGAUAAUAAUUAAAAUUAUUAAUGACUACCAAGAUGAAUAGUCUCAAACUUCAAGGUAAAAUCAAUUUCUUCAAUAGAUCAAUUAGCAAUGUCCCAAAAUAAAAUUUUCUUUUGCAUGCAAGCUUCAUACAUGACCCACAUUCCAGUGCAAACCUCAAAGAAUAUUACAAUAAAAUAUCAUGAAAGAUCUUUUUAGUCCAAUAUGAAACAUCUUAUAAACAAAUCUUUAUCUUGCUACUAAAUAAUAAAUUUUAAAAUCGAGAGCAACAUCACAGUAUUCUUUCAUAUCAAAUUUAAGCUUGUAAUUUACUUUAGCAACUGAUGAUCAAAUUAAUAAUCUCAAUGCACAAUAAAAUUUCAUAACCAAUAUUUUUAUAAUUUUUUUAGAUCAAAAUCCAACAAAUCAUAAUAUGAUCCAUAGAUUGUCCAUUAUAUAUCAAACCCUCUAAGUCAUUAUUCCUAAAUAAUCCUUUCAUUCAUAAUUACAAGAUUUUGUCAAAAAUCAUGAAGAUAACUUACACUACAAUCAUCAUCAAUCUACAUCCCAAUGCCCCUAGUGUCUAUCCACCUACACUCAUCCUAUAUCUGUUUCUAUUUAUCAUAAUUUAUCCACUUAUACUCUGAUACCAUAUUAAUUACUCUAAUAUUAUAUUAAUUGUUAUGCCUCCGAUCUGAAAUAUAGAUCAGCGAUCAUGACAACCGCCACAUAUUUAUGAAGAACUCUUCCCCAUAAACAUACAAGGCAUCUCAUGACGACAUCAAUGCAUCACAGUAGAUAAAAUUUAAAUACUUGUUAUUCAACUUUAACUCAAAUAACUAAAUCAAAUGUCUUAUAUCUAAUAAAAUUCUACUAAAAAUAACAUAAAAUAAAUCUAAGUUCAACGAAGUUGACAAUGUUAAAUCUCGUCUCUAAAAGCUCUCUCAAAAUUAAUGCCCGCACUCAUAAUUAAUUAUCUGAAUCUGAAAAAUAAAAAGAGAGAUAAUGAAUAUCUCAACUAGACAUUCCAUAUAUUAUCAUAUGAUAUUAUGUUCAAAAAUAAUACCAUAAAUAACACAAAGACAUAUUUCAUGCUUACUUAAAUAACAUAAAUAUUUUUAAAUAUUCAUAUAUAUAUAUAUGAUCAUAAAUUUGAUUCGAGUCAAAACACACAUAGCUCAAUAACCUUGACUAUAGCCAACAUUUAUCCCGAUUAGUGGGGUCGAAAAUCAAUGCACUAUCCCCAUUGGCAGAGUCGAAAACUAAUGCACAACUCCCAUUGGCAGGAUAGAAAACCAAUGUAUAACUCCAUUGACAUGGUCAAAAACCAAUGUAUAAUCUCUAUUGAUGGGACCCAUUGAAAUAUAGUUAGAUUUAGAGCAUAAAUUCGAUCUGUAUCAAAAUACUUUUGUAAUAUAACAUAUAGAUAUCAUACUUUCCACUGAACAUAUUCAUAAUCAUAUUAUUUUAGAAAUUACUUUCCAUUCAAAACACAAUUUCAUAAAUAAUGCAUAAUUCAAAAAUCAAUACUUGCUUUCAAAAUAAUUAUGAAACAUCUCAAAAAGAUAGUUCAUUACUUACCUCUUCAGAAUAUUGAAUGGACAUAAUCAAUCAAAUCCUGAAAGCAUGCUUCAGAACCUAUUAUUCAAAAUUAUAUACUUAUAUCAAUUCUAAUUUAUAACUAAAUCAAAAUAAAAUUUCAAAUCAAAACUUCACUUGAGAUCGAACCCUUCACUAAACUCGAUCAAAAUCAUCAAAAGAAAGUCCUUCAUUGGACUAAUCUUAGAAAGAUAACUUCUAGAGAGAAAAUUCCAUUAAGAGAGAAAACAAUCUAGAGACAGAAAAUUUUAGAGAGGGAGAAAUUAGAGAGAGAAAGUUGGCUUUCUAGAUAGAGAAAGUAGAGAUUCAACUUAGAAUAGGAAGACAGAGAAGAUGGAGAAAUUCUCUCUUUUUUUUUCUUUUUCUUUCUUUUUUUUUCUUUUUUUUUCCCUAUGGGAACAAUGGACCUACGCAUCCUCUUCCCCUUCUUCACGGAACAGAGAAGGUCUUCCUCCCCCUUGUUCCCGAAGCCAAGAUGGCUUCCUUCCCAUUGGCAAGGCUCACAGCUAGAGAAGCAGGGCAAGGUAGGAACCAGUGGCCUUGGUCCGGUGACCAGUGAUGGCAACCAACGACAAUAACCAAAAACAAAUAAGGGAAAAUAGAAAACUCAAAAAACAACAAUUUCAAGGAAUUUUUGAUAGAAAAAUUUGACAAAACUCAUGCUUCAGACUUACAAAAGAUUAAGAAGGUGAUAUAAAGGAGAUUUAUCUAGUUUUUGAUUGGCUUUGAUCAAAUUUCCGAUGGCUACGGCAUGGGUAAACCACCAGCAAUCAGGAAGAAAGAAAGGGGGGAAAAAAAGAGCAAUGAUUUUCGUUGAGGAAAAUCAAAGAGAUUAGGGCCUUUAAAUAAGUUUCAAUAGGAAGGAUUUUGAGUUUCCUCUUUCCACGCUAAUUUCCAGCACCUGCAUUGCACAUGCUGGCCCAAAUUUUAAUUUUGUUUCUAUAUUUUGAGAUUUGUGCGGUAGGACUGGAUAUUAUAGGAAUAAUAUUAGAUCCGAGAGAAUUGAAUUUUUUCUUUAAUCCUACGGAGUUCCAAACCGCAAAGCCCUGCCCACUCCCUCACAAUUUUUAACCCAAUACCCCGUCUUAUCCUGCCAGAUUUUACUAAACAGUCCCUGAGUGUUUUCAUCCACAAAAAAAAAAAAAAAAAAAAGAGAGAGAGAAAUGAUGGCCGCAUGACAAGAAAAACUGACGAUGACUUUCCUCUCAUGAAACAGCUAGCUAUAGGUGGCAUAAAUAAUGUUCACUUGCAUAUUUCCUUGUUAAUUUCUCUUUCUCAGAAGCUAUUUGUCAGAGGAGAUGAGCCACGCUGAAAAUUAAAUAUUUAAGCUAUGGAACAUUUGGCUUUGUAAAUAAUUAAACAUCAUAUGUUGAUAUAGCUGCUGUUAGUUCUGGUAACAGUUAACAGUAAAAGUGGUUACAAAAUUAUUUUCUAACCCAAGGUCCUAAAUGAGAUGUUUCAAGCAUGAUCAAAAUGAACGGGCCCUUUUUCCCUUUCCUUUGUUUCCCCAUCUUGUUACUGCCAUACCCUGCAGGUGUUGCGUUAUUAGUUACAAAACUCUUCCACUUCAAAGAGUCUGAACUUACAGAUGGAGCUUAAAAUGAACAUCCAUGAAUCAACAAAAGGUUAUGAAGAAAAGGACUUCGAUAUAAAGCCGUAGUCAAUGUACUACAAUUCAUACCAAAGGUUGUUACAAUGAUUUCAUAACCAAGUUUAGUAUGUUAAUACUAGUGAAUAGAAUAAAUAGUAUUUGAGGCAUAAAAAAACUG
rnacentral:lncRNA from 1 species